rnacentral:rRNA from 1 species
ACAUGCAAGUCGAACGGUAACAGGUCUUCGGAUGCUGACGAGUGGCGCACGGGUGAGUAACGCGUGGAUAUCUGCCUAUUAGUGGGGGACAACUUAUGGAAACGUAAGCUAAUACCGCAUAAUCCCUACGGGGGAAAGCAGGGGACCUUUCGGGGCCUUGUGCUGAUAGAUGAGUCCGCGUCUGAUUAGCUAGUUGGUAAGGUAAAGGCUUACCAAGGCGAUGAUCAGUAUCUGGUUUGAGAGGAUGAUCAGACACACUGGAACUGAGACACGGUCCAGACUCCUACGGGAGGCAGCAGUGGGGAAUAUUGCACAAUGGGCGCAAGCCUGAUGCAGCGACGCCGCGUGUGGGAAGAAGGCCUUCGGGUUGUAAACCACUUUCAAUUGGGAAGAAGAGAUGAGGUUUAAUACACUUCUGAUUUGACGGUACCUUUAGAAGAAGCACCGGCUAAUUUCGUGCCAGCAGCCGCGGUAAUACGAAAGGUGCAAGCGUUGUUCGGAUUUACUGGGCGUAAAGAGAGUGUAGGUGGUUUAUUAAGUCGGAUGUGAAAUCCCGGGGCUCAACCUCGGAACUGCAUUCGAUACUGAUAGGCUAGAGUUUGGGAGGGGUAAGCGGAAUUCCGUGUGUAGCAGUGAAAUGCGUAGAUAUACGGAGGAACACCUGAGGCGAAGGCGGCUUACUGGACCAAUACUGACACUGAGACUCGAAAGCGUGGGUAGCAAACAGGAUUAGAUACCCUGGUAGUCCACGCCCUAAACGAUGUCAACUAGCCGUUGCGGGUAUCGACCCCUGCAGUGGCGAAGCUAACGCGAUAAGUUGACCGCCUGGGGAGUACGG